CCCUUGUACCAUAAUAGGUGUUUUCGUGGAGCACGUCCUGAACGUGUUCAGAGGAAGAACGCUUGCGCAUUAGAAUUUUGGCUGUUCGCGGUGUUGAAAAAUCCUCCUCUGAAUAAAAAGUUCUCUGUUCGCGGAGCGCAACAACUUGUCCUGAACGUAUUCGGAAUGCGUUCAACAAGUUCUGGGAUUAAAGAGAGGAUUUAUUGUCCGCACAUGUGCAGAAGUUGAUUUGACGAAUUUAUUUAUUUUGUUAAGAGAUUCGAGAUUGUAUUUCUAACCUAACAAGUUUAAAAUUUUGAAUUGUUGUGUUAUCAUACAAAUGUUGUAAAAGAUGAUGAACCUCAGUUCAAGUGAUGAAGAUUUGGAAGAGAUUGUAGGACUUUUAAAUGUUCCAAAAAAUGCAAAUUUUUUUGAGGAAACUGUGCAACAAUUUAAUAACCAACAAUUUAUACAGAAUUUUAGAUUAAGUAGAGACUUAGCUGUAGAUUUGGCAAAUAAGUAUGAAAGAUCUCAUUUCCACAAUAUUAUGUAAAAUUACUUUUCCUGUUUUGGAGUGUUGUUUGUCCUAGCGUAGAUAAAGAUAAAAGAAUAAGGUUAGGCAAUUGGCAUAGGCAACCCAAAAAA
rnacentral:lncRNA from 1 species